GAUUAAUUGAAAAUUGCUUUUCCACACAUACACUUCAUCUAGGCUAUCUGUCUAUCUAAUAGUCCUAGAUAGAUAGACAGACAGACAGACAGACAGACAGAUAGAUAGAUAGAUAGUUCUAGGCUAUCUGUCUAUCUAAUAGUCCUAGAUAGAUAGAUAGACAGACAGACAGACAGACAGACAGACAGAUAGAUAGAUAGAUAGAUAGAUAGAUAGAUAGAUAGAUAGAUAGAUAGAUAGAUAGAUAGAUGAUAGAUCAACGUGCUCUCUGUGCUCUUCUUAAUUUUGUAGUUUCAUCUGAAUGUCAACAUUUGUAAGAUUAAGUCAGUCAAAACAAGUUUUGAGGUUAAUUGAUCUAAUUUUGUGUCUUCAAAAUAGUCUGUGGCCUAUUCUGUAUUAUGUUGAAUUUCAUAAUCGUGUCUGUUUGCCUGUAGUGUGUUUGUUAAUAAGGGAUUUGUGAAGACAGAAAUUUGGCCCAGAAGGCCCAGAGUGCCAUGUCACUAGUAUUAUUAUUAUUUUUUAUUUAAUAAGCAGAGUUAUUAUUCAGUAAUUCUAUGAGUUGUACAUUUCAGACAUCUUCACUAUUCAUUAAACCUAUAGGAUAAUUGAGCAAAAAUGAUUCAUUGUUUGAUAUAUUAAUGAUACAUUAUUUUAUUUAAUAUUAAUUUAAUAUUAAUUUAUAUUAUAGUUACAACAUUAUCAAUGCAACAGUCACCAAGAAAAAACAGGUUUCAUGUACAACAGCCCAAAUAAGACACAUUAGAUCAGUGCUAUUGCAGUAUGAAUAACAUAUUGAUCUAAAACUCAUCUGCAUGAGUUGUUUAAAUAUUUAAAACCUUUAAUUUAUGAACAAGUAGCCAAUGUGCAGCCUACAGUAGCAGAAGCUCAGCUCUGUCAAGGGCUCAUUUCUAUCUUCUCCAGCAGCUAGUCUGCAUAUGCAGUUGGUUACUAAGCAACUGUAACUGGAUCAUUCCCCUCCCCCUUCUUCUCUAAAGUCAUGCCACGUAGGCACUGGCAAAUGCACCAGGUGGACUGUUCAUGGAAGGCAGAGGCCUCGAG
ensembl:lncRNA